GCACCUCUCAAACACUGCCUGAAGCACCUCUCAAACACUGCCUGAAACACCCUCAAACACUGCCUGAAACACCUCUCAAACCCUGCCUGAAACACCUCUCAAACCCUGCCUGAAACACCUCUCAAACACUGCCUGAAACACCCUCAAACACUGCCUGAAACACCUCUCAAACACUGCCUGAAGCACCUCUCAAACACUGCCUGAAGCAACUCUCAAACACUGCCUGAAACACCCUCAAACACUGCCUGAAACACCUCUCAAACACUGCCUGAAGCACCUCUCAAACACUGCCUGAAACACCCUCAAACACUGCCUGAAACACCUCUCAAACACUGCCUGAAACACUGCCUUGUUUGCAUUUAUGUCCGUGACAAUAUGACGUCGGACUCACGAAAGUGCAGAAGUCCCGCCUCCAGGCUGCUUAGCCACGCCCUCAAACAAAUCUAUUUAGAGCGGUGGCCGGUAGACUUGGGUUAGCUGUAUCGCCAAGUCUAGCAGACCCUGUUCUUGGUGCAAGAAGUAAUUCCGACCUGAAGAUGGAGCGGUAGCAGUUAACUGUUACUGCCCUUCCACAGUACAGCCCCCGCCUUGCAUUUUGUUCACUUUAUUUUCCGAGGAAUGCUUCCAGAACUAGGCACAGUAAAGUUACGAUGCAGGAUCAUUCGCUCCGGUUACUUUUUGGAGACGAGGCAGUUUCCACUUUGUUGGCCCAACCUGAACCUCCAGGAUCACGACCGGUACUUCUUGGCGAUCAUGCGUCUCAAAGAAAAUGCAGACCUCAAGCUAAAACUUCUGCAGGACAAGCUGUCUUCAAGGACAUGUUCACCAAGUCCAGAUAGAGGGAAUGCACCGCAAGGGCAACAGAACAGACCCUACAUACAACUGUGGAUGGCCUGCUAAGUUGAUCCCCACCGACCUGUUGUCCCAGUAUGAGGAACCCUCAAAGGAGGAAGUUGUCUCCUGCUUCAAUCAAGUGGCGCCCGGAAUCAUGCAUAAUGUCCAGCCAAAUCGUUAUGCAUGCUUGUCCUGCAGAAGUUAUAGAUAAGGGAACUCCUGGUGUUUCCUGUCAUUCAACUAUGGCCACUGUUUCACUGUAUCCCUUAAUGGGACUGGUUACAUGUUGCCGGAGAUGUCCAUGCACCUUUUGUCUGAUUUCUGGUAGUAUAAGCAAGCUCACAUUUAACCAAGAGACUGCUUAAAAAGGAUGACUCAGAAAAUGCUUUGGGGAACUAUAAAGCACAGUAUUACACCUCAGACAGCUUGCAGUUAAACAUAUUACUAUGCGAGUCAUGAAUUCAAGCAGGAUCAGUGAACCAUAGCCAGCCUUGAAGAUAAGCA